rnacentral:rRNA from 1 species
UGCGUAGGCGGCCAAUUAAGUAGGGUGUGAAAGCUCUCGGCUCAACCGAGGAAUUGCGCUCUAAACUGGUUGGCUUGAGUGAGAUAGGGGUGUGUGGAACUUCCGGUGGAGCGGUGAAAUGUGUUGAUAUCGGAAGGAACACCGGUAGCGAAAGCGGCACACUGGGUCUCAACUGACGCUGAGGCACGAAAGCUAGGGGAGCGAACAGGAUUAGAUACCCUGGUAGUCC